UACGAAGGGGGCUAGCGUUGUUCGGAAUUACUGGGCGUAAAGCGUGCGCAGGCGGCUUCUCAAGUCAGGGGUGAAAGCCCGGGGCUCAACUCCGGAAUUGCCUUUGAAACGGGAUCGCUUGAGUCCGAGAGAGGAUGGCGGAAUUCCUAGUGUAGAGGUGAAAUUCGUAGAUAUUAGGAAGAACACCGGUGGCGAAGGCGGCCAUCUGGCUCGGUACUGACGCUCAGGCGCGAAAGCGUGGGGAGCAAACAGG
rnacentral:rRNA from 1 species